rnacentral:rRNA from 1 species
AUUGAACGCUGGCGGCAGGCUUAACACAUGCAAGUCGAGCGGAGAUGAGGUGCUUGCACCUUAUCUUAGCGGCGGACGGGUGAGUAAUGCUUAGGAAUCUGCCUAUUAGUGGGGGACAACAUUCCGAAAGGAAUGCUAAUACCGCAUACGUCCUACGAGAGAAAGCAGGGGACCUUCGGACCUUGCGCUAAUAGAUGAGCCUAAGUCGGAUUAGCUAGUUGGUGGGGUAAAGGCCUACCAAGGCGACGAUCUGUAGCGGGUCUGAGAGGAUGAUCCGCCACACUGGGACUGAGACACGGCCCAGACUCCUACGGGAGGCAGCAGUGGGGAAUAUUGGACAAUGGGGGGAACCCUGAUCCAGCCAUGCCGCGUGUGUGAAGAAGGCCUUAUGGUUGUAAAGCACUUUAAGCGAGGAGGAGGCUACUGAGACUAAUACUCUUGGAUAGUGGACGUUACUCGCAGAAUAAGCACCGGCUAACUCUGUGCCAGCAGCCGCGGUAAAAC